rnacentral:lncRNA from 10 species
UGCUGCUGGUUUUCUAGGCCCACUCAGCCCAAAAGGCUCUCAAGAUACAAGAUUCAUCAUCAUGCCUGUGAGCUGGGUCCAAUAAUGAAUCACCAUCCUACCUGUGGCCAAAUGCAUAUAUGACAGUUACAACUCUAACUGCAGACUGCAUCGGCAUGUAAAAUUUAGGUCACCAGUGGGCUCUCUCCAUGUUUGAAUGUGGUGAUUCUAAUGGUCAGUGAGGUGUGCAUAGGAGAGUCACAAUCUCAUCUUCAAGUGGGCCUUGUAUCAGCACUCUCUGUACUCUCUUAGGACUAUAUGACAUAUCGGUGGGC